rnacentral:lncRNA from 1 species
GAGGGAGCAAAGAUACCCUCGGAUGGAAACAAGCAGGAAGAAGAAGGAGACUGAGAGGUUAUAAUUUUGUGUUCAACAGAUGUGGAACAAAUCGUUCUAGGGGGUGAGAAGGAACGAAAAUUCACCUAAAACUAGUUCCGUGGAACAGCGCGUUCCACCCGUUUUAGGCGCACCAAAUGUGGGACGGAACGCCUCGCCCCACUUUGUUCCAUCCCGUCCUGUCCCACGUACCAAAUAGUACCUUAAAUCACAUGACAUCCAAGGGCUCUUAUUUAUUCAUUAAAUGACAUGGAUACUUAUAUGGAUUUUAACUAACAUUAAAAAAAUAAAAAUAAAAAGGCAUAAAAUCUAAAAGGAAUUAAAAAUAAAAUUAAAUGGGAAGAAGAAAUAUGAUUAUCAAAUGAAUACCUAUAUUAUAAUUUAUAACCAAACUACAAAAAAUUUCAAAUUAAAGAAAUAUGAUCUGAGAUAGAAAUGAAUAGUCCACUUUUUUUUUUUAAAAGCUCACUAAAUUAGAUUUAUAAAAAUAAAAAAUAAAAACUUAAAAACAAAAUGAUUGUCAAAUACGCUCUUAAACUUUUCUCUCAGAAUCUUUCAGACGUUACCUACUUUUAUCAUAAAGAUAAGCAUCCAUUUCCCUAAUGUCCCUCCUCUUUUGUAAACAUUAUCGUUCUUUUCUCCUUUUGAAACCUGGACGAGUGUAAGACAUUGGCUAACCAUGGCUGACUAGCUAGACUGGUUAAGGUCGAACUGACCAAACCAGCCACAGUUGUGGGUGGAUCGGUUAGGCCAUUUCAUAGUCGUGACCCUUUUUUCUAAUAUUUUAAAGAUAAAGUGAAUAAUUUCAUAAUAUUUAGCAUGACUGUAAAAAGUAUUCGUAGGGUUGAAAGAUGACUCUUAUUCAACGGGUAUCUUGGUGUGUGUAAAUUUGUAAUAUCAUAUUCCAGCGAAGAUCACAAAAUUUUGCUUUUAUGGCUGCCAAUGACUUAGAAGAACUCCUUCUAAAUUGUUGGAUAAGCAAGUAGAAUUAAAUUGGAAUAUGAAGGGAAAGACAAAAAAAAAAAAAAAAAAAAUGUUCACCUUUAAGGGGGUGUUUACUAAACUGGAAUGGAGGUAGAAGAAAGGGAAUUGAAUUCCUUUCCAAGUGAUUCUGGCAUUUAACAAAUUUUGGGAAUGAAAAAAUUUGUGAGCUCCACCCAAAAUCAGUAAUCGAAUCCCUGAUAUCCCCGGAAUCCAAUUAUUGACUUGAAGGUGGUAAUUGAAUUAGGAAGAAAGCUAACAUCCGGAAUCAAACUUCUCUACGGAAAUUGCCCUGCCCCUCCCAUCUGCCUCCCACGAUUCAACCACCCAAAGCACACACCCAUCCCCACCCAUAACCAACGUAGACCACCGUACCACCUCCUAGACUGCCAAGACCUAUCACCAACCUGAAGGAUUAUUUUGUGAAAACAUGUUCAUUUGAAUAACAUCUAUAGCAUGCAAUUAACAAUUAAAAGGCGGAAUCAUGCUUGUAUGCAUUCAAAAACAAAACAUUAACCAUGAAAUUCAAAGCCUAGUAGAUUGGUGAACCAAGACUCAACUCAAAUC